rnacentral:rRNA from 1 species
UACAGAGGUCUCAAGCGUUGUUCGGAUUCAUUGGGCGUAAAGGGUGCGUAGGCGGCGCGGUAAGUCGGGGUGUGAAAUCUCGGAGCUUAACUCCGAAACUGCAUUCGAUACUGCCGUGCUUGAGGACUGGAGAGGAGACUGGAAUUCAUGGUGUAGCAGUGAAAUGCGUAGAGAUCAUGAGGAAGACCAGUGGCGAAGGCGGGUCUCUGGACAGUUCCUGACACUGAGGCACGAAGGCCAGGGGAGCAAACGGG